rnacentral:lncRNA from 1 species
AUCUUUGUAGCUUGAGCUACACAAAAUUCGUGUAAAAGUUUAACAUAUUGAUUGAUGGUCUAUAUAAAACAUAUUUUUGCCGUUUAUUGUACAUAACAAUUUUUAAAUCUAAACAAAUAGUUGUUUUAGUUAAAUAGAAUGAAAUUCUUGAUUUAUAUAUAUAAUUAUUCCUUUGUUUUGGGUAGAACUGUUUUUCAUCCCUCUCAAGAAGUCCAUCAGGUUCAAGAGUACGUAGCUGAUGCAUCCAGAACCUUUCUCUCUGUUUUCUUUU